AGCUCCAAUAGCGUAUAUUAAAGUUGUUGCAGUUAAAAAGCUCGUAGUUGAACCUCGGGUUCCGCUGAAAGGUCUCUCUACGGAGCAGUACUUUUAGGCGGUUCCUUUCCUUCUGGAGAACUAGUGUGGGAUUCAUUUCUCGCGCUAGGGAACCAGGACUUUUACUUUGAAAAAAUUAGAGUGUUUAAAGCAGGCAAUCGCUUGAAUACAUUAGCAUGGAAUAAUAAAAUAGGACUUUGGUUUUAUUUUGUUGGUUUUCAAGACCAAGGUAAUGAUUAAUAGGGACAGUUGGGGGCAUUAGUAUUUAGCCGUCAGAGGUGAAAUUCUUGGAUUGGCUAAAGACUAACUUCUGCGAAAGCAUUUGCCAAGGAUGUUUUCAUUA
rnacentral:rRNA from 1 species